rnacentral:rRNA from 1 species
UACAGAGGUCCGAGCGUUGUUCGGAUUCAUUGGGCGUAAAGGGUGCGUAGGCGGUCUGCUAAGUUUGAUGUGAAAUCCCGGGGCUCAACCCUGGAAUGGCAUUGAAUACUGGCGGACUAGAGUACCGGAGAGGAAACUGGAAUUUACGGUGUAGCAGUGAAAUGCGUAGAGAUCGUAAGGAAGACCAGUGGCGAAGGCGAGUUUCUGGACGGUAACUGACGCUGAGGCACGAAGGCCAGGGGAGCAAACGGG